GAAAGAACUCUUUAACUGCACAACCUCUUUCCCCUGAAAAGAGGAAAACGGCUGCCGAGUGAGGUGCCAAGUCACACUAUAUAGUAAGAUCUCGGCGGUUGUGGAGAAGGGACUAAUGGAGCAAGAGUCACAGUGGAGACCAGGGCUAGGAGAGCUUUCCCAGGGGAUAGAGAGACAAACUGAUCCGAGUGAAGGCGACAGGAAAGAAAAUGAGCCUGCCUGUCACCAGCGGGUGGCGUGGCCACGCACACCGCUGAGCCUCUGUGGGUUUCCGUUUCCCUGUUCUUGAAGGGUUGGAUGUGAUGUCCUGCUCCUCCAAAGCAGAGGCCCUCUGCACUCCCUGAUCCACUUUAUCUCCUCAGGAGGCUGAGAUGCAGCCCAUUCCCGACGGCUCCAGGGAUCUAGAGUGUCACAGCCUGAUGUUCACACUGCCCUGCCUCUUCCACCUCACGAGUCACUGGACCCGACAGUGGGAGCAGCUUGUCACCAGGUCACCAGAUGACACAUGGCAGAAGAAAGGCUGUAUGAUGCCUUUACCUGUGAGAGAGCUAUUCUAGAAGUUCAGAAAAGUUCAUAAAUGGUGGCCUCCAUUGACCACAGAGACCCACACUGCGGGAGAGGGGCCACGGCAGGGUAGGCUGCCUGGCACCAGUUGGCAAGGAUUGCCAUAUCGUGCAAGUUCCAGGUGUUGAGCAGCAGUCUUGGCUCAGAGCUGAAAGCAAACAAUGGCUCAAACUAACACUGUGGCCAAAAGGGCCCUGAUGAGGAAAGCCAGAGGAAGAGGAGCGAGCCAAGGAAGAGUAGAGGGACAAAGUCAACAGACCCAGUCCAGGAAUCCUGCAGGACUAUGAUGGAAGGAGAUCCAGCUGUGACUUUGAGAGUCUCCAAGCCUGGGGGAGUUCUGGCACUUCUCUAUUUAAUAAUCCCCCAAGGAAGCAACUCAUGGAGAAAGGUCAGAAGUUGUGGUGGGACAACAGCCAAGGGUUCCCGCAACCAACAUGGAGACUUCUGCCAGCACACAGGAAUGUCUGAAGGAAGCAAGGACCCAAGUCAGAAAUCAGUUGUCUGGGGGACACAGAGGUCAGAGGACACUGUCCUUGGCAGAAGAGUUGUGAACACCCUUAAAUCCAUAGGCUCCUGGCCAGCUGGUCCCUGGACCGUGAGGAUCAGGAUCAUGUUGAGAGAGGGAUGCUGGGAUUGAAUUGAAGAGGGUCCUUUCAAUUAGGGGAAAGUGACCCAGAAGCAUGAACUAAACAGGUGAAGGUGACACCUUGGGGUGACCUGCAAAGGAGGUUUCUGGGGUUCUUUCUGUAUUGCUAGAAGGGGGAAAAAUCAAGUAACGUCUCAGACCACAGCACAGAACCUUGUGAAGACUGAGGAGUCGAGAGAUCACAGAAUUCUCCCUGCUAACAUAGAAACCAAAACUGGGGAGACCAGCUACCGGGACAAGUGGAGCAGACUCACCAGCGAAGGGUCAACGUGCAGCAGUGGCCGUCUGUGGAGAGCGUUGCAACAGCAGUAACUCAGAAGUUUAUAAUCAAGAGAAAUUUGUCUCCUGGCUCUAGUGAUUGGGAGAGUGACAUGAUGCAGAUGAACUCUAGCCACUGGCUCACCCAGGCUAGCAACAAUGCCUGAACCUCAGUCUUCCUGGAAAAAGCCCACAUGGACACGCACUUUCUCGGAAGUGGAAUUGUAGAAAUCUCAAGCCAACACAGUUUGAAAAAAAGAGAAGAAAGAGAAGGAGGAAAAGAAGCAGAAGAGAAAGAAGAAGGAGAACAGGAAAAAAGAAGAAGAAGAAGAAGAAGAAGAAGAAGAAGAAGAAGAAGAAGAAGAAGGAGAAGAAGAGCUUGCCACCAUUCCCAGGAUAGUCUCAUCCCAGAGAGACAUUUGCCAGAUAUCUUGGCUGCUCAACUGUUGUGCCCCCCUGCCGUCUCUGUGAUCUCAAGCAGCCAGCAGCCAGGCUCCAGGUCAGAGGCUCAGCAAUGGUGACAAAGAGAAGCACAGAGGAGUAGAGGACAGCACUUGAGGUCGCCCAGUCUUCACGAUUAGAUCACCCUGAGCAGGAUGCUCCCCCUGGCUGAGCUCGGGGCCAUGUUCUCUUGAGUAAAAUUGGACUGAGUCCAGUUUUAUGUACUUCAGAGCCCUUCCUUGUUUGUACACGAAAGACACACUCCAGUCUAAACUCACCCGAGACGAACAGCUGCUUAUUUCUUGGCAAUUUUCCCCUGGUGUUUCUUGUCUUGGUGGAAUUAAUCCUUGCAUAAUAACACACAUUUCUGUCCCAUAAGAAUGUUAUCUGGUUUG